rnacentral:rRNA from 1 species
GACGAACGCUGGCGGCGUGCCUAAUACAUGCAAGUAGAACGCUGAAGCUUGGUGCUUGCACCGAGCGGAUGAGUUGCGAACGGGUGAGUAACGCGUAGGUAACCUGCCUGGUAGCGGGGGAUAACUAUUGGAAACGAUAGCUAAUACCGCAUAACAGUAGAUAUCGCAUGAUAUGUGCUUAAAAGGUGCAAUUGCACCACUACCAGAUGGACCUGCGUUGUAUUAGCUAGUUGGUGAGGUAACGGCUCACCAAGGCGACGAUACAUAGCCGACCUGAGAGGGUGAUCGGCCACACUGGGACUGAGACACGGCCCAGACUCCUACGGGAGGCAGCAGUAGGGAAUCUUCGGCAAUGGACGGAAGUCUGACCGAGCAACGCCGCGUGAGUGAAGAAGGUUUUCGGAUCGUAAAGCUCUGUUGUAAGAGAAGAACGAGU